AAAUUGAAGAGUUUGAUCAUGGCUCAGAUUGAACGCUGGCGGCAGGCCUAACACAUGCAAGUCGAGCGGAAACGAGUUAUCUGAACCUUCGGGGAACGAUAGCGGCGUCGAGCGGCGGACGGGUGAGUAAUGCCUAGGAAAUUGCCCUGAUGUGGGGGAUAACCAUUGGAAACGAUGGCUAAUACCGCAUGAUGCCUACGGGCCAAAGAGGGGACCUUCGGGCCUCUCGCGUCAGGAUAUGCCUAGGUGGGAUUAGCUAGUUGGUGAGGUAAGGGCUCACCAAGGCGACGAUCCCUAGCUGGUCUGAGAGGAUGAUCAGCCACACUGGAACUGAGACACGGUCCAGACUCCUACGGGAGGCAGCAGUGGGGAAUAUUGCACAAUGGGCGCAAGCCUGAUGCAGCCAUGCCGCGUGUGUGAAGAAGGCCUUCGGGUUGUAAAGCACUUUCAGUCGUGAGGAAGGUAGUGUAGUUAAUAGCUGCAUUAUUUGACGUUAGCGACAGAAGAAGCACCGGCUAACUCCGUGCCAGCAGCCGCGGUAAUACGGAGGGUGCGAGCGUUAAUCGGAAUUACUGGGCGUAAAGCGCAUGCAGGUGGUUUGUUAAGUCAGAUGUGAAAGCCCGGGGCUCAACCUCGGAAUUGCAUUUGAAACUGGCAGACUAGAGUACUGUAGAGGGGGGUAGAAUUUCAGGUGUAGCGGUGAAAUGCGUAGAGAUCUGAAGGAAUACCGGUGGCGAAGGCGGCCCCCUGGACAGAUACUGACACUCAGAUGCGAAAGCGUGGGGAGCAAACAGGAUUAGAUACCCUGGUAGUCCACGCCGUAAACGAUGUCUACUUGGAGGUUGUGGCCUUGAGCCGUGGCUUUCGGAGCUAACGCGUUAAGUAGACCGCCUGGGGAGUACGGUCGCAAGAUUAAAACUCAAAUGAAUUGACGGGGGCCCGCACAAGCGGUGGAGCAUGUGGUUUAAUUCGAUGCAACGCGAAGAACCUUACCUACUCUUGACAUCCAGAGAACUUUCCAGAGAUGGAUUGGUGCCUUCGGGAACUCUGAGACAGGUGCUGCAUGGCUGUCGUCAGCUCGUGUUGUGAAAUGUUGGGUUAAGUCCCGCAACGAGCGCAACCCUUAUCCUUGUUUGCCAGCGAGUAAUGUCGGGAACUCCAGGGAGACUGCCGGUGAUAAACCGGAGGAAGGUGGGGACGACGUCAAGUCAUCAUGGCCCUUACGAGUAGGGCUACACACGUGCUACAAUGGCGCAUACAGAGGGCAGCCAACUUGCGAAAGUGAGCGAAUCCCAAAAAGUGCGUCGUAGUCCGGAUUGGAGUCUGCAACUCGACUCCAUGAAGUCGGAAUCGCUAGUAAUCGUGGAUCAGAAUGCCACGGUGAAUACGUUCCCGGGCCUUGUACACACCGCCCGUCACACCAUGGGAGUGGGCUGCAAAAGAAGUAGGUAGUUUAACCUUCGGGGGGACGCUUACCACUUUGUGGUUCAUGACUGGGGUGAAGUCGUAACAAGGUAGCGCUAGGGGAACCUGGCGCUGGAUCACCUCCUUAAACGAUGAU
rnacentral:rRNA from 1 species